CCCAGCAGGCACGCAACGUUGUUUCAACGUUGAUAUUUGGAUGUGACGUCGAACAACCAUUUUUCAACGUUGGUUCAACGUUACUAUUUCGACGUCGAAAUUUCAACGUUGUACUGACGUCGAAUCAACGUUUAGAAUCAAGUGUUGGAAGGGUUCCAAAUAAUUAUGUUUUUCUUAAUUCGUGUUAAUUAAUCUGUGUAUACUCAAUAAAGUAUAAAUUUAUCAUUUUGAGAGAGGAUUUAAAAUUAGUCGACAAUUCGACGUCUAUAUGACGUCUAAGUGACGUUGAAAAUAAAUGAUUUUACAAACACGUACAUAUUUUUAUAAAAAUUCUUUAAAAAAAAAAAUCAGUAUAAGAUGUAAAAAAAAAAAAAAAAAAAAAAAAAAGCUUUAAUAUGUUUUUAUGUUUUUAAAAUAAAUAUGAAUGCAUGUUUGGCUACUAUUAAAGGGCGGGUAACUCUAAUUCCGGUUUAUGACAGGAAGUGUACGAUUAAAAGCGCGGGCUUUCAGCGAGGUAAACAAGGGAAGACAAAGGACAAUAGGAAAAGAAAGAGAAUAUACGAUCUACACGAACUGAGCGGUGCUAGAGAUGUUUGGCUAAUGACAUGAUGGCAAGAAUGAAUUUGCGAGCAAACAAGGGAAAGGCAACCUUCAGCAGAACAAUUCUGUAUUCCGUUAUAAAAGAAUGUGUACUCGCCAGCAAUCCAAGGGCAACUGAAAGCAACAAAGACUAGAUCAUGGGGGAAAUAUCUGAAGUAUGCCCCUGAAAGAGCUGGAGGAGGUGGCCGAAAAGAGAACAAUGACUACUAGGCUUUAAUUAAAAAUAUAGUUUUUUGUGGGUCACUCACACUCUUGGAAAAAAACCACUCUAGUUAAAUAUCUUAACUAUUGCUUCUGCAAUAGAAAGUAAUUAUCAAAGUUAAUAAAUUUUAUACUAUCAU